rnacentral:rRNA from 1 species
UAAUACCCCAUAGAUAUUCAAUGCUGGAAGGCUUGGAUAUCGAAAGCGCAAGCGCCAGAGGGUGAGUCUGCGGCCUAUCAGGUAGUAGGUGGUGUAACGGACCACCUAGCCUAAGACGGGUACGGGCCUUGAGAGAGGGAGCCCGGAGAUGGGUUCUGAGACACGAACCCAGGCCCUACGGGGCGCAGCAGGCGCGAAACCUUCGCACUGCGCGAAAGCGCGACGAGGGGAGCCCGAGUGCCUCUCCAUUUCGGGGAGGCUUUUCACAAGCCUAAAAAGCUUGUGGAAUAAGGGCUGGGCAAGACGGGUGCCAGCCGCCGCGGUAAUACCCGCAGCUCGAGUGGUGGUCGCUUUUAUUGAGCCUAAAACGUUCGUAGUCGGCCUUGUAAAUCCCUGGGUAAAUCGGACCGCUUAACGGUUCGAAUUCCGGGGAGACUGCAAGGCUAGGGACCGGGCGAGGUCAGAGGUACUUUCGGGGUAGGAGUGAAAUCCUGUAAUCCCGAAGGGACCACCUGUGGCGAAAGCGUCUGACUUGAACGGCUCCGACGAUGAGGAACGAAGGCUAGGGGAGCAAACCGGAUUAGAUACCCGGGUAGUCCUAGCUGUAAACUCUGCCCGCUUGGUGUGGCCUGUCCUUCGGGGGCAGGCUGUGCCGGAGCGAAGGUGUUAAGCGGGCUGCUUGGGGAGUACGGCCGCAAGGUUGAAACUUAAAGGAAUUGGCGGGGGAGCACCGCAACGGGAGGAUGCGUGCGGUU